GCGAUUUUAACUUCAGUGCACAUGAGUGUAACUUUUAAAGAUUUUCUUUUUCCUCACUAAAUUCAGGACAUCAAAGAUUUUCUCCAGAAGCAUGGAAUAAGGAGGGACAUUGAUGUUUGCCAACUCAGUCUUGUCAAAAAAAAACUAAGUAGUGUCCCAGACUUAUCAAGAUUUCGCUUUCUAAGGAAGCUGGAGCUGAACAACAACAAGAUCAGAGAGCUCAGCUGUCGUUCCCUCAACUGCUGCCUGACGGAACUUCACCUUGAAAAUAAUAACAUCAAGUCUGUUUCAGGUGCUCUAAAUCAUCUGACCUGCCUUCGACUUCUGUUUCUCCACAACAACCAGAUCAGAGGGCUGGAAGACACGAUGCAUGAGCUCAGAAGGAUGCAGCAACUCCAAAACGCCACUUUUUUCCUCAAUCCCAUCUCUCAUGAACCUGGGUUUCGCCACCAUGUGAUUCAUUGCUUGCCUUCAAUACAGGUCUUAGAUAGAAAAGGUAAAGUUAACAGACAUUCAGACAUAGAUUUUGCCAUUCUAAAAUCUUACUUAAUGCAUCUUUACAGUCUUUGUUUCCAUUUGUUGUUGCUGGGAGACAGUAGCUCGGUACCUCUCUGUUGUCAGAAGUGAAGCCAGCAGAGAGGAGAAGGUCCUUCCAGAUCUACAACCAGGACCGUCAUCGUGUUCUGCAGUCUGUGGCCUUUGGCAGACGGGAAUCAUAGUCGACAGGGACAGAGACGAUGCUGGUUUCUCAGAGAUCAGUAUUGGUUAUUGUCAUCACACAGUACAAAGACGUGUCCCGCUGUUUCGCUGUUUUUGUUAUGUGUUAAAAAUACUUCUAAAAGUGGUGUCUUUUACUGCGAUAAUACUGAUUUUUCAUGGCUUUGAUCGGGGAGGGAAACAAAACUUGAGACACAAAAUGACCAAACUGACACACAAAUUGAGACACAAAAUAAUACCCAAUUGCCUAAAUGGAGACACAAAAUGUCUAGAAUGAGAAUCAAAUGAUCAAAAUGAGACGCACAAUGACCAAAACGACACAGAAAUGACCAAACAGAGACCUAGAAUAAGACGUAAUUAACCCAAAAUGACACCCAAAUACCUAAACUCUGAGCAAACAGGGAUAAAAUGACACACAGAUGAACACACUGGGACCUAAAAUAAGAUGCAAAAUGACACCCCGAAACCUAAACUUACACAAAACGACUAACAAAAGAUCACACUGACACACAAAACAAGCAAAAAAUGACUACAAAAGAUGUAGCAUAAAAUACAAAAUAAAAAAGAAGCUAAAUUACCAAAAUGAGAUAUAAAAUGGGCCAAAGUGAAAUUAAAGCAACCUAAAAUGAGAUGCAAAAUAAAUGUGAAAUGGAAAUCGGCUACAAGGACAGGUACAGGUACCAGGAAGAGACAAAAAACACCUACAAAAGUGACACCAAAAAAGGCAACAAAUCUGCAAGAUGUGUGGUUGGAGACACAAAAUGAGUUCAUUUGGUGGUUUGUGGUCAUAUUGCAUGUCAGUCUGCUACUUUGCAGCAGGAGUGGAGAGCCUCUUAUAUCUGUAUCCAUUGUUUGAUAAAUCACCCAUGAUUGAUUGCAUUAGGUUGCACAGGCUUCCCUACUAUUCAGAAAACCACAGAAACCAGCCAUGUAAGAUCAUCACUCUGUCACAGAGAGAAUACACAGGUAAAAGAAAAUGUACGGCUAAAAUAUGAACAUUUACUCCAUACAUCGGUGAAGUUGGUCUUUAUUUAAUGUACUUAAGAUCAAGUUGUUGGACAUGUUGGAUGUCUUCAGCGUUCAGGUCAAACAAUUACUGGACAUGAUGUUUUGACUCUAGUUUCUCUGUCCAUUCGGGCUGCACAAGAAAUGAAAGAAAUAAUAUAAUAAUAUUCUUGUGCUGUAUACAAGCAAUGCCUGGCCAACUAAGGAUGUAUUUUCAUUUUGUUAAAUUUUUUUGAAAAUCCUGAGCGUUAACGUCACAAUUCACGACACACUAAAAAUAAA